UGUCUUUUAGAUUUUAUUAAAAGUCUGACCUGCCCAAUGAAUUUUUUAAUGGCCGCGGUAUUUUGACCGUGCAAAGGUAGCAUAAUCAUUUGUCUCUUAAUUAGAGGCUGGAAUGAAUGGUUGGACGAGAAAUCAGCUUUCUUUAAUAUAUCUUUAAAACUUAAUUUUUAAGUCAAAAAGCUUAAAUUUUAUUAAGGGACGAGAAGACCCUAUAGAACUUUAUUAAUUUAUUGGACCACAUAAUUUUUUUAUUUACUUUUGUGGUCCACAUCUAUUUAAUUGUGUUGGGGUGACAUAGAAAUUUAAUUAACUUUCUUUUUUUAUACUCAUUGAUUAGUGUAUUUUUAGAUCCAGGUUUAUCUUGAUUAUAAGUUUAAGUUACCUUAGGGAUAACAGCGUAAUUCUUUUGGAGAGUUCUAAUCGAUGAAAGAGUUUGCGACCUCGAUGUUGGAUUAAAAUUAGUAUUGGGAGUAGAAGAUCAAUUACUAGGUCUGUUCGACCUUUAAAAUUUUACA
rnacentral:rRNA from 1 species